GAUGAACGCUAGCUACAGGCUUAACACAUGCAAGUCGAGGGGCAGCAUGGUCUUAGCUUGCUAAGGCCGAUGGCGACCGGCGCACGGGUGAGUAACACGUAUCCAACCUGCCGUCUACUCUUGGACAGCCUUCUGAAAGGAAGAUUAAUACAAGAUGGCAUCAUGAGUCCGCAUGUUCACAUGAUUAAAGGUAUUCCGGUAGACGAUGGGGAUGCGUUCCAUUAGAUAGUAGGCGGGGUAACGGCCCACCUAGUCUUCGAUGGAUAGGGGUUCUGAGAGGAAGGUCCCCCACAUUGGAACUGAGACACGGUCCAAACUCCUACGGGAGGCAGCAGUGAGGAAUAUUGGUCAAUGGGCGAGAGCCUGAACCAGCCAAGUAGCGUGAAGGAUGACUGCCCUAUGGGUUGUAAACUUCUUUUAUAAAGGAAUAAAGUCGGGUAUGGAUACCCGCUUGCAUGUACUUUAUGAAUAAGGAUCGGCUAACUCCGUG
rnacentral:rRNA from 1 species